CCUACGGGCGGCAGCAGUGGGGGAUAUUGCACAAUGGGGGAAACCCUGAUGCAGCGACGCCGCGUGGGCGAAGAAGUAUUUCGGUAUGUAAAGCCCUAUCAGCAGGGAAGAAGAAAUGACGGUACCUGAGUAAGAAGCACCGGCUAAAUACGUGCCAGCAGCCGCGGUAAUACGUAUGGUGCAAGCGUUAUCCGGAUUUACUGGGUGUAAAGGGAGCGCAGGCGGCACGGCAAGCCUGAUGUGAAAGCCCGGGGCCCAACCGCGGAACUGCAUUGGGAACUACCGGGCUGGAGUGCCGGAGAGGUAGGCGGAAUGCCUAGUGUAGCGGUGAAAUGCGUAGAUAUUAGGAGGAACACCAGUGGCGAAGGCGGCCUACUGGACGGUGACUGACGCUGAGGCUCGAAAGCGUGGGGAGCAAACAGGAUUAGAUACCCUUGUAGUC
rnacentral:rRNA from 1 species